UAUCCCUCUCUCGUUGUACCUCAUUCAGUCUUUCUGUUUCAAUCUCUCUCUCUCUCUCUCUCUCUCUCUCUCUCUCUCAAUCUCUAACUCUCUCUCUAGCCUAUACUCAAUAAUCGAUUGGCAAUAAUCGUCCAAUAAUAAGUCCAAGGUCGAUAGUUGAUAGUCAAUAAUUGCUAGUCGAUAAACGAUAGUUAUUGCAAAGUCAAUAACCGUUAAGUCAAUCGUCCGAUCACACAAUCCCAGCUAUCGACAGUCGAUAGUUCCUAGUUGGUGGCAAGCGAUGGCCAAUAUUUGGGAUAUUGGCCACUGGGGCAGUCUGACAACUCUUAUCGCAUCUCUCACUCUCUCCACUAGCCGGGGGGACGGCCAUCCCGUUAUCAGAGCCGCAAAACUUUGCGCUGUUUGGCUGCGGCUCUGAUAAGACUCCAACCAGACGCACCGACAGCGCCAACAACAGCAACAACGACAACAACAAGCCAAACAAACAAAUGAAGUCGACGUCGACGUCAACGUCGCGACGCUCACGUUGCUGUCGCUAAUGACGACACAGGCGGACGCUGGCGCCCAUUUCGCCAAAUAGCGCGCAGAGCGAAAAUCGUUAACGGGAAAGGCAAUAGCAGCGCGCAGAGCUAGUGGCAGAGCAGCGCAGCAGCAGCAGCAGCAGCAGCUACAUACAUAUGUCGACGUUGCGACGCGUCGUCGUUAUCGCAGUUAUAGUUCGCAGUUGAGUUGCGACGGCGACGCAGUUGUCUUCCCUUCCACAUUGCGAUUGGAUCGACCAGCGCCGGGCGGAGCGGGCGAAACGGGCGAAACGGGCGAAACGGUUCGGUUCGUUCGGUUCGUGCGAAGAGAAACGUAAAAAAGUUAUCAGAAAUCAAUGCGAUAAGCGGUUAAAGCGGGAAACGCCGCAGCAACAGCAACAACAAAGCAGCAGUAGCAGCAGCAGCAGCAGCAGCAGCAGCAGUAGCUG